GAAAUGACAGAUGCAGCAUCUGUCAAACCACUAAUUGCUAGGAACUAUUCUGCUGAUCAUAAUCGCUAAUCAUGAAUCCCCUUCCUUCUUUAUAUAUUUCAUGUGUGUCUUUCCCACAGUUGUAUGCUCAAUCAAAGAGGAUGACCUUUUCUAAAUAGAAAAGGACCAGUCUUUGGAGUCUAUAGUAGUUGAUCUGUUCACCUGGUAGAACCAUCAAUCAAGCUCUCAAAGUACAUUUUAAAUUAUAUCCUUAUACACAUGGAUAGUAGUAUUUAU
rnacentral:snRNA from 1 species